CACAUUGACUCUACAAAACUGGUAGGGCCUAUAAUACUUCAACUAAUAAGAGCUAUCAUUUCUGACUUUUAAAUCAUCGAAUCAUCUUCGGAAUCAUGUUAAGCUAUCAAUGUUUCGCGAGUAUCGCUUUGGUUUUCAUGCUAACUGAAAUAGUGUUAACCGCUCCUUUUGGCGAUACAUGUCGGUUGAGUGAUAUAGGGGCAGUCACUAACGCGACCAGUGAUGGUAAACCAAUUUUGUAUAAGACAGUUCCAGAGGAAUGCCUUGAAGGCCAAUUCGAUUGGGACUGGCCACAGGGAUAUGUCUACCUUUCCUCAAAAAUGAGUCGACCUCACUCUCUGUGUAUCGAGACUACUAUGUUUUGGGUCAGUGAUGGUGGGAGGAAUCAGUGACGUCACGGACGGAGCUGCAAAAAUAUUGGAGUUGCCCACUUUAGAUCAUCCGGCUUGCACUGUUGCAACAACAGGUAAAACAGAGCUCCGCAUUCAAGCUGAAAGCCAUCAGUUAUAUUGGACUACCUUUGGUUAUAGGGUGAAUCUUUUGUAAAUGAAACAAAAAUGUUCUUUUACACAUUCUACGUUGUUAAAAGCUGUCGCUCUUGUAUGAUUAGAGUACAAUAAAAACUUGUCAUUGUCGAC